UACGUAGGGUGCAAGCGUUGUCCGGAAUUAUUGGGCGUAAAGGGCUCGUAGGCGGUUUGUCGCGUCGGGAGUGAAAUCCACUGGCUUAACUGGUGGCUUGCUUUCGAUACGGGCAGACUGGAGGUAUGCAAGGGAGAACGGAAUUCCUGGUGUAGCGGUGAAAUGCGCAGAUAUCAGGAGGAACACCGAUGGCGAAGGCAGUGUUCUGGGCCAGUACUGACGCUGAGGAGCGAAAGCGUGGGGAGCAAACAGG
rnacentral:rRNA from 1 species